GACGAACGCUGGCGGCAGGCUUAACACAUGCAAGUCGAGCGGGGUGAUGGUGCUUGCACUAUCACUUAGCGGCGGACGGGUGAGUAAUGCUUAGGAAUCUGCCUAUUAGUGGGGGACAACAUCUCGAAAGGGAUGCUAAUACCGCAUACGUCCUACGGGAGAAAGCAGGGGAUCACUUGUGACCUUGCGCUAAUAGAUGAGCCUAAGUCGGAUUAGCUAGUUGGUGGGGUAAAGGCCUACCAAGGCGACGAUCUGUAGCGGGUCUGAGAGGAUGGUCCGCCAGACUGGGACUGAGACACGGACCAGACUCCUACGGGAGGCAGCAGUGGGGAAUAUUGGACAAUGGGGGGAACCCUGAUCCAGCCAUGCCGCGUGUGUGAAGAAGGCCUUAUGGUUGUAAAGCACUUUAAGCGAGGAGGAGGCUCUCUUGGUUAAUACCCAAGAUGAGUGGACGUUACUCGCAGAAUAAGCACCGGCUAACUCUGUGCCAGCAGCCGCUGUAA
rnacentral:rRNA from 1 species